UCUGAUGAUGAUGAUGAUCCGACGUCGUUUGAUGAUGAUCCCAAGAACGAAACGAAUGAGGGAAUAAACUGGACUGAAGG
rnacentral:misc_RNA from 1 species